GUGGGGAAUAUUGGACAAUGGGCGAAAGCCUGAUCCAGCAAUGCCGCGUGAGUGAUGAAGGCCUUAGGGUUGUAAAGCUCUUUUACCCGGGAUGAUAAUGACAGUACCGGGAGAAUAAGCUCCGGCUAACUCCGUGCCAGCAGCCGCGGUAAUACGGAGGGAGCUAGCGUUGUUCGGAAUUACUGGGCGUAAAGCGCACGUAGGCGGCUUUGUAAGUUAGAGGUGAAAGCCUGGAGCUUAACUCCAGAACUGCCUUUAAGACUGCAUCGCUUGAAUCCAGGAGAGGUGAGUGGAAUUCCGAGUGUAGAGGUGAAAUUCGUAGAUAUUCGGAAGAACACCAGUGGCGAAGGCGGCUCACUGGACUGGUAUUGACGCUGAGGUGCGAAAGCGUGGGGAGCAAACAGGAUUAGAUACCCUUGUAGUCC
rnacentral:rRNA from 1 species